GUACACGCUGUGACUAGCAUAUCAAUAAGCGGAGGAAAAGAAACUAACAAGGAUUCCCCUAGUAACGGCGAGUGAAGCGGGAAGAGCUCAAAUUUGAAAUCUUAAAGGGUUUCCCUUUACGAAUUGUAGUUUAAAGAAGUGUUUUCUGUUGAGGUUUUGGUAAAAGUUCUUUGGAAUAGGACAUCAUAGAGGGUGAGAAUCCCGUAUUUGACCUUUACUUUCAACUUUGUGAUACACUUUCAAAGAGUCGGAUUGUUUGGGAAUGCAGUCCAAAAUGGGUGGUAAAUUUCAUCUAAAGCUAAAUAUUGGCGAGAGACCGAUAGCGAACAAGUACCGUGAGGGAAAGAUGAAAAGAACUUUGAAAAGAGAGUUAAACAGUACGUGAAAUUGUCAAAAGGGAAGCGUUUGACACCAGUGUUGUUUUUCUGAAAAUCAAUUAAAGAACUGUUUAUGCUAAGUUGUUUAGACUUUAUCAGCUAUCUGUUUAGUUUUGAGCUUUUCUUUAAUGCACUUUUCAGUUAACAAGUCAACAUCAAUUUCUUUUGCUGUAAAAAAGCUUGAGGAAGGUGGCUUGAGAUUCGUCUUAAGUGUUUAUAGCCUCUUGCCUAUGCAGUCGGAGAGAUUGAGGUCAUGCAGCGUAGAUCCUUCGGGGCUAAAUGCAUUUGUGCUAAGUUAUAGCAUUUUAUAGACAACUUGUUGACUAUGAUUUGUCUUGUAGCUUACUCGCUUAUGUUAUUUUACCUACGCUUAGGAUGUUGAUAUGCAUGACUGAUAU
rnacentral:rRNA from 1 species